UACGAGGGGGGCGAGCGUUGUUCGGAAUUAUUGGGCGUAAAGGGCGCGUAGGCGGUGCGGUAAGUCACCUGUGAAACCUCUGGGCUUAACUCAGAGCCUGCAGGCGAAACUACCGUGCUUGAGUGUGGGAGAGGUGCGUGGAAUUCCCGGUGUAGCGGUGAAAUGCGUAGAUACUGGGAGGAACACCGGUGGCGAAGGCGGCUACCUGGACCGGUUCUGACGCUGAUGCGCGAAAGCGUGGGUAGCAAACAGG
rnacentral:rRNA from 1 species